rnacentral:tRNA from 1 species
AAAAGCAACGCGACCGUCGUGGGUKCAAUCCCCACCUCGAGCA